UACAGAGGUCCCGAGCGUUGUUCGGAUUUAUUGGGCGUAAAGGGUGCGUAGGCGGCGGAGUAAGUUGGGUGUGAAAUCCCGGGGCUCAACCUCGGAAUUGCAUUCAAUACUGCUUCGCUCGAGUACUGGAGAGGAGGCUGGAAUUUACGGUGUAGCAGUGAAAUGCGUAGAUAUCGUAAGGAAGGCCGGUGGCGAAAGCGAGCCUCUGGACAGUUACUGACGCUGAUGCACGAAGGCCAGGGAAGCAAACGGG
rnacentral:rRNA from 1 species